AUUCAGCUGACGAGUCUCAAAUAAGAUGAAACGCGCGUCCUGGAU
rnacentral:hammerhead_ribozyme from 1 species